UCGACCCGACUCACUUUCUUUCCUGCCUCUUCCUCUCUCUCGCGAACUCCCCGACGUCGAUGCCUACCUCAGUGAUCGCCGGUUCUUCCCUUUCCUCUCUCGGUGUCGCCGGCGAGGAGCAAAUCUUGGAGUGUGGAAGGAAAAGAUCCUUGAUCUGUGGAUUUCGCCGGCUGUUGGAAGGGAAUCGAGGAUAUCGACAUUGGAUUUGGCCGGCGUCAACGAAUUGGUGAAAUAACGACCACUGUCUCCUUCCCCUGUUCGUCUGCAAGCACAGAUCGUGCCCUAGCCGUGAUUUGUGGAGGGUCCGACCUCCACAUGCUCUAUCGGUUCAUCUUCUUCUUUGGUUCUGUGGUUACCUCCGGUGAUUGAAGGGUGCAGAGGUAGUAGGUAGAUGACAUGGAGUUUCUUGGAGUGUGCUGCCAGCCGGUCCCACUUUCCGCGUUACAUCCGAGGCUUCUUAUCGGUUUUUAGUCUUUUACUAUUAGCAUUUUAUGCUUCGUGGAUUUGAUGUUGUCAUAUCAUACUAUGUCUUGAUACGUGUAUUGUGGACUUAUACCUGUGGUGUGUUUUUGUGGACUUUUCGAUUUUUGUGGGUUCAUAUUCGUUUUCCGCUGUGCUUUUGAUAUAGCCGUGUGAGCUACAUAUUCAACUGCGUGGUUGUGGUUAUUUUUAUGCAUAUAUAUCCCAGCCGCAUGUGGCUGACGUAUUUUUGCAUGUAUGAGAGUUUCAGAUUGUCACCGGUACAGGGGAGGUGCUGCCGAAAUUUUUCGGGAGGUACUUCCCCAAGGCGUGACAAGAAGUACAGUGGAUAAUAUGUCAAGAGGGAAAAUUGUUGUCCAAAAGCAUUACUUUAAGUCUCCUUUGUUGGAAUUUUGGUGGAACUAGAAUAACGAAAUAAGAAUGUAGGAGAGACUUUGUAACAAAGUAUAAGGAUGGAAGAAAGACUUAAUGAAAAUAAAUGUUUACUACU